AUACACUUGCUAUAAUAAAACCAUUUUUAUACAUUUUUAUGAAGGUCUGUCCAUUUAGAACAAAAUGUGCAUGCAUGUUUAUGUAGAAAUAAUUGAACACACCCCCGGAUAAGGAUCUUAAAAGCUAUGCUUUAAAGCACAACAUUUCUGUUUAUUUUAAUACAAUAAAUAUUUAAUGUUAAACUAGUUCUAAUUUUCAGUCCGUCUGAACGCAGUGCUUCGCUAUGAGAAACGCUUUCUUUACCAUCUUUAUUGUGUUUUAACAUGUUGUCUUUUGUCAUGUGUUAUUAGGCAUGUUCAACUUCAUGAAGCGCUGCGAGAACCCACAUCAUAUGUUGAUGACGUAAACGUAUCGCGAGACUGAGUCAAGAAAUUACACGUAGAGGUCUAAUUUCGAACCGCUCUCGCGGUACAUUGACGUCAUCAUCAUGUCAGCGCCGCAUGAGGUCGAACACACCUAUUAUUUGCGGGCACACGCCUCCGUCCUCGUGAGUUCAAAAACUGAAUUUAACCGAUGUUUACCUCAGACGACAGUUUUCGUUUCUGUGAUAAAUUCUGAGCUAAUUUUCUUGUUGUGUUUGAUCUUUUCCAUUGGCUGAAGAAUGCUGUGACAAAAAAGCAACCAGGACACCACAUCUGCAGUGACAGAGAGCAGGAUGGGGGAGGAAUCAGAAGGACCACAAGAUAAUAUCAACUGGUGCCCCUGAGGAGAUUCACAUUGUUCCGUUUCUUUUGUUUAGUAAUAAGUGGUUUUAUGUGAUUUUGUAAAAUAAAAGAAAUUCAUUAUUCAAUCUACAUGUUUUGCACAUAAUUUUCUAUAUUUUACUUCCGUGUAUUUACAGCCAGGGUGCCUACUGUAUUUAUUGCCCAAUGUGCCCACACGUUGCCCACAGUUAGCCCAAACUUUGCCCAGUGUGCCCACAUUAAAUCCACACUUUGUCCACAGUAAGCCCACACUUUGCCCAGUGUACCCACAGUUAGCCCACACUUUGCCCACAGCCCACACUUUGCUCAAUGUGCCCACAGUUAGCCCAAUGUGCCCACAGUUAGGCCCACAAUUUGCCCACAGUUAUCCCACACCUUGCCCAAUGUGCCCACAGUUAGCCCACACUUUGCCCAAUAUGUGCCCACAGUAAGCCCACACUGUGCCCACACUUUGCUCAAUGUGCCCACAGUAAACCCACACUUUGCCCACAGUUAGCCCACACUUUGCCCAAUGUGCCCACAGUAAGCCCACACUUUGCCCACAGUUAGCCCACACUUUGCCCAAUGUGCCCACAGUAAGCCCACACUUUACCCAAUGUGCCCACAGUAAGCCCACACUUUGCCCACAGUUAGCCCACGCUUUGCCCAAUGUGCCCACAGUAAGCCCACACCCAGCCCACACUUUGGGCUGUCCCACUGGGGCCCCAUUGUGGGCCCAUAGUGUGGGGCCCACACGUGCCCCGCAUU